GGUUACUGCUAUCGGUGUUCGUCUAAGCCAUGCGAGUCAUAUGUAGCAAUACAUGGCGUACUGCUCAGUAACACGUGGAUAACCUGCCCUUGGGUCCGGCAUAACCCCGGGAAACUGGGGAUAAUUCCGGAUAACGCACAUAUGCUGGAAUGCUUUAUGCGUGAAAUGGAUUCGUCUGCCCAAGGAUGGGUCUGCGGCCUAUCAGGUAGUAGUGGGUGUAAUGUACCUACUAGCCUACGACGGGUACGGGUUGUGAGAGCAAGAGCCCGGAGAUGGAUUCUGAGACAUGAAUCCAGGCCCUACGGGGCGCAGCAGGCGCGAAAACUUUACAAUGCGGGAAACCGUGAUAAGGGGACACCGAGUGCCAGCAUCCUAUGCUGGCUGUCCAGGUGUGUAAACUACACCUGUUAGCAAGGGCCGGGCAAAACCGGUGCCAGCCGCCGCGGUAACACCGGCGGCCCGAGUGGUGAUCGUGAUUAUUGGGUCUAAAGGGUCCGUAGCCGGUUUGGUCAGUCCUCCGGGAAAUCUGACAGCUUAACUGUUAGGCUUUCGGAGGAUACUGCCAGACUUGGAACCGGGAGAGGUAAGAGGUACUACAGGGGUAGGAGUGAAAUCUUGUAAUCCCUGUGGGACCACCUGUGGCGAAGGCGUCUUACCAGAACGGGUUCGGCGGUGAGGGACGAAAGCUGGGGGCACGAACCGGAUUAGAUACCCGGGUAGUCCCAGCCGUAAACGAUGCUCGCUAGGUGUCAGGCAUGGCGCGACCGUGUCUGGUGCCGCAGGGAAGCCGUGAAGCGAGCCACCUGGGAAGUACGGCCGCAAGGCUGAAACUUAA
rnacentral:rRNA from 1 species